AACGAACGCUGGCGGCAGGCCUAACACAUGCAAGUCGAACGAGCUGGGGGCUUCGGUCCCCGAUUCUAGUGGCGCACGGGCGAGUAACACGUGGGUAUAUGCCCUUUAGUACGGACUAACCAAGGGAAACUUUGGCUAAUACCGUAUACGCCCUUCGGGGGAAAGAUUUAUCGCUAAAGGACUAGCCCGCGUCUGAUUAGGUAGUUGGUGAGGUAAUGGCUCACUAAGCCGACGAUCAGUAGCUGGUCUGAGAGGAUGGUCAGCCACACUGGGACUGAGACGCAGCCCGGACUCCUACGCAAUGCAGCAAUGCGGGAUAUUGGACAAUGGGGGCAACCCUGAUCCAGCCAUGCCGCUAGAGUGAAGAUGUCCGUCAAGUUGAAAAGCUCUUUCGACGGGGACGGUGAUGACGGUACCCAAAUAAGAAGCCCCGGCAAACUUCGUG
rnacentral:rRNA from 1 species